rnacentral:rRNA from 1 species
CAGCCGCCGCGGUAAUACGUAGGUGGCAAGCGUUGUCCGGAAUUAUUGGGCGUAAAGGGCUCGCAGGCGGUUUCUUAAGUCUGAUGUGAAAGCCCCCGGCUCAACCGGGGAGGGUCAUUGGAAACUGGGAAACUUGAGUGCAGAAGAGGAGAGUGGAAUUCCACGUGUAGCGGUGAAAUGCGUAGAGAUGUGGAGGAACACCAGUGGCGAAGGCGGCUCUCUGGUCUGUAACUGACGCUGAGGAGCGAAAGCGUGGGGAGCGAACAGGAUUAGAUACCCGCGUAGUCCCUGUCUCUUAUAC